UGGGUGCUGUGAGUCCUGCCACUUUGUUUAAGUGAAUGUGUCUUUUGUCCAGCUCAGCCGCCUCGGAUCUCGCUGCCACCAGCCUUACUGCACACCCGUGCCACCCGCCCUUGCCCCGUCAGCCUCAGCCUCAGCUCAUUCUCUCAGGCAGUCCCAGCAUUGGCACGGUACCUCCUCCCGCUGUGGGCCACACGUCUCUGCUCCCUGUCAACCCUCCUGCCAUCAGCACCACCACCAGCGACUUGUCUGCCCGGGAGGAUGCAACACCAUCUGCCUCCACCGGCCACCUUUCAGUGUUUCCUGCUUUCCAAGUAAAGAUACCAGCAGUGCCCUCAGAGCAGACCAGCCAGAGUUUUUCUGAAGCCUCCCACAGGGUGCUCCCCGGAGGAGGCCCGAGAUGCUCUCGUGACUUUGGAGCCGGGGUGGCUGGCCACCUUGGCCUGGGCAUCUUUGGGGUGGGCUUCGGGAGCCCGGCACUGCUGCAGAGUGUGGUGGAUGAGAACAGCUGCUGCUUGCUGUACGUGGUGGAGGACCAGCUGUGUGAUGUGGAGCAAGCCUUCAGAGCUGAGCAUUUGGGCCAACACCAGAGUGGUUCGGGAACAGGAUGCAGACAUUGUCCUCAACGACCAGCGGCACUUUGAUCCGGUUUUCCAGUUCUUGCACAAGCAAGUUUGUGUCAGCCACGCCCUGGGGAGGAUCCACUG
rnacentral:lncRNA from 1 species